GAUGAAGAACGUAGCGAAAUGCGAUAAGUAAUGUGAAUUGCAGAAUUCAGUGAAUCAUCGAAUCUUUGAACGCACAUUGCGCCCCUCGGUAUUCCGGGGGGCAUGCCUGUCCGAGCGUCAUUUCAACCCUCAAGCCCCCGGGCUUGGUGUUGGGGAUCGGCGAGCCUCCGCGCCCGCCGUCCCCUAAAUCUAGUGGCGGUCUCGCUGUAGCUUCCUCUGCGUAGUAGCACACCUCGCACUGGGAAACAGCGCGGCCACGCCGUUAAACCCCCAACUUCUGAACGUUUGACCUCGGAUCAGGUAGGAAUACCCGCUGAACUUAAGCAUAUCAAUAAGCGGAGGA
rnacentral:misc_RNA from 1 species